rnacentral:rRNA from 1 species
UAUUCACCCUGCCCUGAAGACAUGGAUAACCCCGGGAAACUGGGAAUAAUACGUGAUAGGUCACAUCAUCUGGAAGGAGAGAUGGCUUAAAUGGACGCGUGAGCUUAUUUCACGUGAAACGCUUCAGGAUGGGACUGCGACUGAUCAGGCUGUUGGCGGGGUAAUGGCCCACCAAACCAAUAACCAGUACGGGCCUUGAGAGAGGGGGCCCGGAGAUGGACACUGAGAGAAGGGUCCAGGUCCUUCGGGGCGCAGCAGGCGCGAAACCUUCGCAAUGCGCGCCCCGUUUCCGAGGUUAAUCCGAGUGGUUCCCGCUGAGGGAAUCUUUGUCGGCUGAAAAAGGCCCUUU